rnacentral:rRNA from 1 species
CCCUUAGAUGUCCGGGGCCGCACGCGCGCUACACUGAAGGAAUCAGCGUGGCUUUCUCCCUGACCCGAAAGGGUUGGGAAACCCGUUGAAUCUCCUUCGUGAUAGGGAUUGGGGCUUGAAAUUGUUCCCCAUGAACGAGGAAUUCCCAGUAAGCGCGAGUCAUAAGCUCGCGUUGAUUACGUCCCUGCCCUUUGUACACACCGCCCGUCGCUACUACCGAUUGAAUGCUCAGGUGAGCCAUUCGGACCUUCAUCAUGCCGGUUUCCGGUUUUGAUGAGGGAAAGUCUUGCGAACCUUAUCAUUUAGAGGAAGGAGAAGUCGUAACA